AUUGAACGCUGGCGGCAGGCCUAACACAUGCAAGUCGAGCGGAUGAAGGUAGCUUGCUACCUGAUUCAGCGGCGGACGGGUGAGUAAUGCCUAGGAAUCUGCCUGGUAGUGGGGGACAACGUUUCGAAAGGAACGCUAAUACCGCAUACGUCCUACGGGAGAAAGUGGGGGAUCUUCGGACCUCACGCUAUCAGAUGAGCCUACGUCGGAUUAGCUAGUUGGUAGGGUAAAGGCCUACCAAGGCGACGAUCCGUAGCUGGUUUGAGAGGAUGAUCAGCCACACUGGGACUGAGACACGGCCCAGACUCCUACGGGAGGCAGCAGUGGGGAAUAUUGGACAAUGGGCGAAAGCCUGAUCCAGCAAUGCCGCGUGUGUGAAGAAGGCCUGCGGGUUGUAAAGCACUUUUAUCGGGAAAGAAAAGCUUGGGGCUAAUAUCUCCAAGCCUUGACGGUACCCGUUGAAUAAGCACCGGCUAACUCCGUGCCAGCCGCCGCCGUAA
rnacentral:rRNA from 1 species